GACGAACGCUGGCGGCGUGCCUAAUACAUGCAAGUAGAACGCUGAAGAGAGGAGCUUGCUCUUCUUGGAUGAGUUGCGAACGGGUGAGUAACGCGUAGGUAACCUGCCUUGUAGCGGGGGAUAACUAUUGGAAACGAUAGCUAAUACCGCAUAACAAUGGAUGACACAUGUCAUUUAUUUGAAAGGGGCAAUUGCUCCACUACAAGAUGGACCUGCGUUGUAUUAGCUAGUAGGUGAGGUAAUGGCUCACCUAGGCGACGAUACAUAGCCGACCUGAGAGGGUGAUCGGCCACACUGGGACUGAGACACGGCCCAGACUCCUACGGGAGGCAGCAGUAGGGAAUCUUCGGCAAUGGGGGCAACCCUGACCGAGCAACGCCGCGGGAGUGAAGAAGGUUGUCGGAUCGUAAAGCUCUGUUGUAAGUCAAGAACGGGUGUGAGAGUGGAAAGUUCACACUGUGACGGUAGCUUACCAGAAAGGGACGGCUAACUACGUG
rnacentral:rRNA from 1 species